rnacentral:rRNA from 1 species
CAAUAGCGUAUAUUAAAGUUGUUGCGGUUAAAAAGCUCGUAGUUGGAGUUCUGCCAGGUGCCGCCUGUCCGCCCCAGUGGUGAGUACGUGGCGCGCAUUUGGCCCUUUCAAGGGGAGCGUAUCUGCACUUUAUUGUGUGGUGCGGGAUCCUUGACUUUUACUUUGAGGAAAUAGGAGUGUUCCAAGCAGGCUCUCGUCGUGCACAGCUCAGCAUGGAAUAAUAGCAUUGGACCUCGAUUCUAAGCUGUUGGUUGCCAGAAGCGAGGUAAUGAUGAAGAGGGAUAGUUGGGGGCAUUCGUAUUUAACUGACAGAGGUGAAAUUCUUGGAUUUGUUAAAGACGGACUACUGCGAAAGCAUCUGCCAGGGAUGUUUUCAUUGA